GUCGGACUAUAGUCUAGUCCAGUCCAAGCCCUCUUAAUCCUGUCAAACAAACGUGCCCGUAGUGCACAAAGUGGCCAAACAAAGACCAACCCACAUGAAUAGUCCAAAUGAUAAAAUUGAUAAAGCCAAAUUCCAAUUGGAUGGUCCAAAAUAUAUGCAAACUAUCUGCUCUAACCGCACCAUCAAAUUAGUCACUCUUUGCAUUGGUUAUCGGGAUCAAGAAAAAAAAUACAAAGAGAAAACACUGGGUUAUUGGGAUCGUGAACACGAUUGCCUCCAGUGUAGCUCUGCUACUAUUAAGGGAUGAUUUGAAUCUGGCACAGUAGUUUAAAGAGGAGAACUUUUCACCAAGUAAAUCCAUUACUCCAAUAACUUGUUAUUAGAUAGAAGCAUUUCUAACUAAUCAAGUAAUCGUCCAACUCCAUAGACUUUGUAUUUAUAAAGUAUAGCAUCAAUGGGACGAAAAGUAAUCGUCCAACUCCAACUACAUAAUUGUCUGGAGUAUUCCUAACAAUUAGCGGCUAUGCUAAAGGAAGUAUGACAAAGUAUGAAAGUAGUAGAAAAAUUAAUGUUUUAAUAUGAAGAUGAGACGAACAAAAUUAUGCAUACAAAUUUGAAAACAAGAGGUGCCUUA
rnacentral:lncRNA from 1 species